GUGGGAUUUUAGCACCUCUUUUUGGAGCUCUAGUACCUUGUUUUUUGAGACCUGUCGCCUCUUAGCUGUAAGUAACCUUGGUGACCUGUUUGGCAUCCCACUUCUGGACCUCAGUCAGGAGAGUGGAACACAGGAGGCCCUGCCCGGGUGGAAGUUCCCGCAGUGGGAUGUGGCUGGAAGCCCUGUGGAUUCUGCCCACCGGCUCAGUGCUGCGUGGAGCCUGCACCCACCGUGAGGGGCAGCCCUUAGCUGCACACCACCUUCUGGCUUCCGGGUCUGUCACCUGGGGCUUUGGGCUCCACACUGAGUGGAGGAGGCUGGCCGGACGGGAGUCUGCUGAGUGCUGUGCCCUAUUCUCUCAAGAUAUCUUCCAGAGCUGACAUUUUCACAGAACCCAUCUUCCCAGCAAGCUCUGACUCAAGUAGCCAGAAGAAACUUGUCUGGCCAGAGAGAGCCAGUGACAGCAAAGCCACCGGGCCCUCCUGGGGCUUCCGUGCACAGAAAUCACCGUGGCGCAGAAGGAAGGUGCGAGAGGAGUGUACCAGAGUUCCAGCCUAGGACCUUUCGCUGGCCCACCCUCCCAAGCUUCCACCAUCCCACAGAAGGUUCGGUGACCUCUGGCGACCAUUGGUGACUCGGAUGACCCCUAGGGCUACGCAGGAUGCUGGAGUUCACCCCACUGGGCCUCCAUCCCUUUGGGUCCCACACAGGGCCUGGCAUACACACAGGCCACAGGCGUCAGCUUGUCCUGGCCCAUGUCCCCAGUUCCUGCCAGGAGCCUUGAGGCCCCACGAAGGUCAGACCCUGGCCCUUUGCCCAGCUCUGGGUCAGAGCGGAGCAUGCAGGUCCUUGCCUCCUGCAGAGAGAACUCCCUCCAUGGGGCAGAAGCCAGAGCAGCGAACCCUUGAGUGGAAGGCAGGGCAGUGAGCUGGGAACCCUGACCCAGCUGACCUUCGCGGAUUUAGAAUGGGUCUGAAGAGCAGCCAUGAGACUGAACCCCAGCCAGGAAGGAAGUGCGUCUCGGAAACCGAGCCCUCCGGCUGGAGUGCUGCCCAUACCCAGCACCCUUGGGCCUCCCCGGUGAGGGGCCUCGCGCCUCUCGUGACCCUCGGGAGGCUGUAACCCUUCUAACCUCAAGACAGAAGCGUGAACGCCUGCGGCGGCUGUGGUUUAACAGUUAGUGCCAGAGAGAAGUCGCCCACGCGAGCCCUGCUGCGACUCACUGUCUGCACGUGCACCGCAAGCAUGGGGACCGCAGUCCCUCUGCCACCGCCAGCUCCUCGGCACCCAGCCAAAGCCACCAGCGCCUGCCACGCUAGGUCAGGCCCCUGCCACCAGCUGUGAGCUUCCCAAGGGCCAACGUGGCUCUGCUCAUUCCUGCGACCCAGUGACCUGCGAGGGCCCGGCAACCGGAGGCAGGAAGGUACACGGGGAUGCACACGUUUUCCUGAAACCCUGACCUGACCACCCAACGUCCUUCACCUGAAAACUGAGCCCACUUCCUGUCCAGGAGGUGCCCCCACCCCUGGCUCCCA